AGUCACUGACAUUAGAUACCCCGGUAGUCCAGGGUGUAAACGCUGCAGACUUGGUGUUGGGAACCCUUCGGGGGUGCUCAGUGCCGGAGAGAAGUUGUUAAGUCUGCUACUUGGGGAGUACGUCCGCAAGGAUGAAACUUAAAGGAAUUGGCGGGGGAGCACCGCAACGGGAGGAGCGUGCGGUUUAAUUGGACUCAACGCCGGAAAUCUCACCGGAUAGGACAGACAUAUGAUAGUCGGGCUGAAGACUCUACUUGAUGAUCUG
rnacentral:rRNA from 1 species